rnacentral:lncRNA from 1 species
UUUGGGUGUACAUUAUAGAUGCAUUCAUCAGAAAAAAGAUCCCAAAGAAAAUAAAUCCAUAAUUGCUAAAACCAUUUUAUUUCCCCCAGUCUGAAAUAUAUAUAAAGAAUGUUAAGCAAUGUAUUGCUAUUGCAAUUAGGUGUAUUGCUAACAACGUUUGUGCAGUUAGUCUUAAUCUGCGUUAUUUUUCUUGCUCUCAUCGCUUUCCUCAUCAACAUCUAUAUCAUCGUCUUGUUCCUCUGAAUCAUCUCUCUCUUGGAUUUCCUGGUCUUCCUCAUUUUGGGCAUCAUCCUCAUCCACAUCCACAUCCUCAUCCUCUAAUUGCUCUACGUUCUGGUCGUCCUUGAUGUCAUCAAUAUCAAUUGAGUGGGACGAAACUGUAGCCAGCAGCACAAUUCCAAAGAGGGCAAUCAGCAAAAAGGUACGCAUGGUCUUGUUUAGGUUAGUCUCUAACUAAUUUCAAGUUCUCGACUUAAUUUCCUUUUUAUAGCAAAUUGCAAAUUGC